UUAAGUUAUUAAGGGCGCACGGUGGAUGCCUUGGCACUAGAAGCCGAUGAAGGACGUUACUAACGACGAUAUGCUUUGGGGAGCUGUAAGUAAGCUUUGAUCCAGAGAUUUCCGAAUGGGGAAACCCAGCAUGAGUUAUGUCAUGUUAUCGAUAUGUGAAUACAUAGCAUAUCAGAAGGCACACCCGGAGAACUGAAACAUCUUAGUACCCGGAGGAAGAGAAAGAAAAUUCGAUUCCCUUAGUAGCGGCGAGCGAAACGGGAAGAGCCCAAACCAACAAGCUUGCUUGUUGGGGUUGUAGGACACUCUAUACGGAGUUACAAAGGACGACAUUAGACGAAUCAUCUGGAAAGAUGAAUCAAAGAAGGUAAUAAUCCUGUAGUCGAAAAUGUUGUCUCUCUUGAGUGGAUCCUGAGUACGACGGAGCACGUGAAAUUCCGUCGGAAUCUGGGAGGACCAUCUCCUAAGGCUAAAUACUCUCUAGUGACCGAUAGUGAACCAGUACCGUGAGGGAAAGGUGAAAAGCACCCCGGAAGGGGAGUGAAAUAGAACCUGAAACCGUGUGCUUACAAGUAGUCAGAGCCCGUUAAUGGGUGAUGGCGUGCCUUUUGUAGAAUGAACCGGCGAGUUACGAUUUGAUGCAAGGUUAAGCAGUAAAUGUGGAGCCGUAGCGAAAGCGAGUCUGAAUAGGGCGUUUAGUAUUUGGUCGUAGACCCGAAACCAGGUGAUCUACCCUUGGUCAGGUUGAAGUUCAGGUAACACUGAAUGGAGGACCGAACCGACUUACGUUGAAAAGUGAGCGGAUGAACUGAGGGUAGCGGAGAAAUUCCAAUCGAACCUGGAGAUAGCUGGUUCUCUCCGAAAUAGCUUUAGGGCUAGCCUCAAGUGAUGAUUAUUGGAGGUAGAGCACUGUUUGGACGAGGGGCCCCUCUCGGGUUACCGAAUUCAGACAAACUCCGAAUGCCAAUUAAUUUAACUUGGGAGUCAGAACAUGGGUGAUAAGGUCCGUGUUCGAAAGGGAAACAGCCCAGACCACCAGCUAAGGUCCCAAAAUAUAUGUUAAGUGGAAAAGGAUGUGGCGUUGCCCAGACAACUAGGAUGUUGGCUUAGAAGCAGCCAUCAUUUAAAGAGUGCGUAAUAGCUCACUAGUCGAGUGACACUGCGCCGAAAAUGUACCGGGGCUAAACAUAUUACCGAAGCUGUGGAUUGUCCUUUGGACAAUGGUAGGAGAGCGUUCUAAGGGCGUUGAAGCAUGAUCGUAAGGACAUGUGGAGCGCUUAGAAGUGAGAAUGCCGGUGUGAGUAGCGAAAGACGGGUGAGAAUCCCGUCCACCGAUUGACUAAGGUUUCCAGAGGAAGGCUCGUCCGCUCUGGGUUAGUCGGGUCCUAAGCUGAGGCCGACAGGCGUAGGCGAUGGAUAACAGGUUGAUAUUCCUGUACCACCUAUAAUCGUUUUAAUCGAUGGGGGGACGCAGUAGGAUAGGCGAAGCGUGCGAUUGGAUUGCACGUCUAAGCAGUAAGGCUGAGUAUUAGGCAAAUCCGGUACUCGUUAAGGCUGAGCUGUGAUGGGGAGAAGACAUUGAGUCUUCGAGUCGUUGAUUUCACACUGCCGAGAAAAGCCUCUAGAUAGAAAAUAGGUGCCCGUACCGCAAACCGACACAGGUAGUCAAGAUGAGAAUUCUAAGGUGAGCGAGCGAACUCUCGUUAAGGAACUCGGCAAAAUGACCCCGUAACUUCGGGAGAAGGGGUGCUCUUUAGGGUUAACGCCCAGAAGAGCCGCAGUGAAUAGGCCCAAGCGACUGUUUAUCAAAAACACAGGUCUCUGCUAAACCGUAAGGUGAUGUAUAGGGGCUGACGCCUGCCCGGUGCUGGAAGGUUAAGAGGAGUGGUUAGCUUCUGCGAAGCUACGAAUCGAAGCCCCAGUAAACGGCGGCCGUAACUAUAACGGUCCUAAGGUAGCGAAAUUCCUUGUCGGGUAAGUUCCGACCCGCACGAAAGGCGUAACGAUUUGGGCACUGUCUCAACGAGAGACUCGGUGAAAUCAUAGUACCUGUGAAGAUGCAGGUUACCCGCGACAGGACGGAAAGACCCCGUGGAGCUUUACUGUAGCCUGAUAUUGAAAUUCGGCACAGCUUGUACAGGAUAGGUAGGAGCCUUUGAAACGUGAGCGCUAGCUUACGUGGAGGAGCUGGUGGGAUACUACCCUAGCUGUGUUGGCUUUCUAACCCGCACCACUUAUCGUGGUGGGAGACAGUGUCAGGCGGGCAGUUUGACUGGGGCGGUCGCCUCCUAAAAGGUAACGGAGGCGCUCAAAGGUUCCCUCAGAAUGGUUGGAAAUCAUUCAUAGAGUGUAAAGGCAUAAGGGAGCUUGACUGCGAGACCUACAAGUCGAGCAGGGUCGAAAGACGGACUUAGUGAUCCGGUGGUUCCGCAUGGAAGGGCCAUCGCUCAACGGAUAAAAGCUACCCCGGGGAUAACAGGCUUAUCUCCCCCAAGAGUUCACAUCGACGGGGAGGUUUGGCACCUCGAUGUCGGCUCAUCGCAUCCUGGGGCUGUAGUCGGUCCCAAGGGUUGGGCUGUUCGCCCAUUAAAGCGGUACGCGAGCUGGGUUCAGAACGUCGUGAGACAGUUCGGUCCCUAUCCGUCGUGGGCGUAGGAAAUUUGAGAGGAGCUGUCCUUAGUACGAGAGGACCGGGAUGGACAUACCUCUGGUGUACCAGUUGUCGUGCCAACGGCAUAGCUGGGUAGCUAUGUGUGGACGGGAUAAGUGCUGAAAGCAUCUAAGCAUGAAGCCCCCCUCAAGAUGAGAUUUCCCAACUUCGGUUAUAAGAUCCCUCAAAGAUGAUGAGGUUAAUAGGUUCGAGGUGGAAGCAUGGUGACAUGUGGAGCUGACGAAUACUAAUCGAUCGAAGACUUAAUCAA
rnacentral:rRNA from 1 species